UCACUUACCUGGACGGGGCAAAUGGCCGAUCAAGGAGGCCCAUAGCCUAGGUUGGCGGCUCACAUUGCACAUGGUGAGUGCUCCAGCUUAAUAUCUCCCCAAGCGGGAGAAUGUACGUCAUAUUUUGUGAUUGAUGGGGCCUGCGUUCGCGCGGUCCCUGC